rnacentral:misc_RNA from 1 species
UCGCGGCUUAUCACCGGCAGUCCCCUUAGAGUGCCCAACUGAAUGAUGGCAACUAAGGGCGAGGGUUGCGCUCGUUGCGGGACUUAACCCAACAUCUCACGACACGAGCUGACGACAGCCAUGCAGCACCUGUGUCUAGAUUCCCUUUCGGGCACGCUCGCAUUUCUGCGAGCUUCCUAGCAUGUCAAGGGUAGGUAAGGUUUUUCGCGUUGCAUCGAAUUAAACCACAUCAUCCACCGCUUGUGCAGGCCCCCGUCAAUUUCUUUGAGUUUUAACCUUGCGGCCGUACUCCCCAGGCGGAUGACUUAACGCGUUAGCUGCGCCACCGAAACGCUAAGCGCCCCGACAGCUAGUCAUCAUCGUUUACGGCGUGGACUAC